rnacentral:rRNA from 1 species
UACGGGGGGUGCAAGCGUUAUUCGGAAUUAUUGGGCGUAAAGGGCGCGUAGGCGGUUGAAUAAGUCAGAUGUGAAAGCCCUUGGCUUAACCAAGGAAGUGCAUUUGAUACUAUUUGACUUGAGUAUGGGAGAGGGAAGUGGAAUUCCUGGUGUAGAGGUGAAAUUCGUAGAUAUCAGGAGGAACACCGGUGGCGAAAGCGACUUCCUGGACCAAUACUGACGCUGAGGAGUGAAGGCGUGGGGAGCAAAAAGG